GGAGGACCAUCUCCUAAGGCUAAAUACUCUCUAGUGACCGAUAGUGAACCAGUACCGUGAGGGAAAGGUGAAAAGCACCCCGGAAGGGGAGUGAAAUAGAACCUGAAACCGUGUGCUUACAAGUAGUCAGAGCCCGUUAAUGGGUGAUGGCGUGCCUUUUGUAGAAUGAACCGGCGAGUUACGAUUUGAUGCAAGGUUAAGCAGUAAAUGUGGAGCCGUAGCGAAAGCGAGUCUGAAUAGGGCGUUUAGUAUUUGGUCGUAGACCCGAAACCAGGUGAUCUACCCUUGGUCAGGUUGAAGUUCAGGUAACACUGAAUGGAGGACCGAACCGACUUACGUUGAAAAGUGAGCGGAUGAACUGAGGGUAGCGGAGAAAUUCCAAUCGAACCUGGAGAUAGCUGGUUCUCUCCGAAAUAGCUUUAGGGCUAGCCUCAAGUGAUGAUUAUUGGAGGUAGAGCACUGUUUGGACGAGGGGCCCCUCUCGGGUUACCGAAUUCAGACAAACUCCGAAUGCCAAUUAAUUUAACUUGGGAGUCAGAACAUGGGUGAUAAGGUCCGUGUUCGAAAGGGAAACAGCCCAGACCACCAGCUAAGGUCCCAAAAUAUAUGUUAAGUGGAAAAGGAUGUGGCGUUGCCCAGACAACUAGGAUGUUGGCUUAGAAGCAGCCAUCAUUUAAAGAGUGCGUAAUAGCUCACUAGUCGAGUGACACUGCGCCGAAAAUGUACCGGGGCUAAACAUAUUACCGAAGCUGUGGAUUGUCCUUUGGACAAUGGUAGGAGAGCGUUCUAAGGGCGUUGAAGCAUGAUCGUAAGGACAUGUGGAGCGCUUAGAAGUGAGAAUGCCGGUGUGAGUAGCGAAAGACGGGUGAGAAUCCCGUCCACCGAUUGACUAAGGUUUCCAGAGGAAGGCUCGUCCGCUCUGGGUUAGUCGGGUCCUAAGCUGAGGCCGACAGGCGUAGGCGAUGGAUAACAGGUUGAUAUUCCUGUACCACCUAUAAUCGUUUUAAUCGAUGGGGGGACGCAGUAGGAUAGGCGAAGCGUGCGAUUGGAUUGCACGUCUAAGCAGUAAGGCUGAGUAUUAGGCAAAUCCGGUACUCGUUAAGGCUGAGCUGUGAUGGGGAGAAGACAUUGUGUCUUCGAGUCGUUGAUUUCACACUGCCGAGAAAAGCCUCUAGAUAGAAAAUAGGUGCCCGUACCGCAAACCGACACAGGUAGUCAAGAUGAGAAUUCUAAGGUGAGCGAGCGAACUCUCGUUAAGGAACUCGGCAAAAUGACCCCGUAACUUCGGGAGAAGGGGUGCUCUUUAGGGUUAACGCCCAGAAGAGCCGCAGUGAAUAGGCCCAAGCGACUGUUUAUCAAAAACACAGGUCUCUGCUAAACCGUAAGGUGAUGUAUAGGGGCUGACGCCUGCCCGGUGCUGGAAGGUUAAGAGGAGUGGUUAGCUUCUGCGAAGCUACGAAUCGAAGCCCCAGUAAACGGCGGCCGUAACUAUAACGGUCCUAAGGUAGCGAAAUUCCUUGUCGGGUAAGUUCCGACCCGCACGAAAGGCGUAACGAUUUGGGCACUGUCUCAACGAGAGACUCGGUGAAAUCAUAGUACCUGUGAAGAUGCAGGUUACCCGCGACAGGACGGAAAGACCCCGUGGAGCUUUACUGUAGCCUGAUAUUGAAAUUCGGCACAGCUUGUACAGGAUAGGUAGGAGCCUUUGAAACGUGAGCGCUAGCUUACGUGGAGGCGCUGGUGGGAUACUACCCUAGCUGUGUUGGCUUUCUAACCCGCACCACUUAUCGUGGUGGGAGACAGUGUCAGGCGGGCAGUUUGACUGGGGCGGUCGCCUCCUAAAAGGUAACGGAGGCGCUCAAAGGUUCCCUCAGAAUGGUUGGAAAUCAUUCAUAGAGUGUAAAGGCAUAAGGGAGCUUGACUGCGAGACCUACAAGUCGAGCAGGGUCGAAAGACGGACUUAGUGAUCCGGUGGUUCCGCAUGGAAGGGCCAUCGCUCAACGGAUAAAAGCUACCCCGGGGAUAACAGGCUUAUCUCCCCCAAGAGUUCACAUCGACGGGGAGGUUUGGCACCUCGAUGUCGGCUCAUCGCAUCCUGGGGCUGUAGUCGGUCCCAAGGGUUGGGCUGUUCGCCCAUUAAAGCGGUACGCGAGCUGGGUUCAGAACGUCGUGAGACAGUUCGGUCCCUAUCCGUCGUGGGCGUAGGAAAUUUGAGAGGAGCUGUCCUUAGUACGAGAGGACCGGGAUGGACAUACCUCUGGUGUACCAGUUGUCGUGCCAACGGCAUAGCUGGGUAGCUAUGUGUGGACGGGAUAAGUGCUGAAAGCAUCUAAGCAUGAAGCCCCCCUCAAGAUGAGAUUUCCCAACUUCGGUUAUAAGAUCCCUCAAAGAUGAUGAGGUUAAUAGGUUCGAGGUGGAAGCAUGGUGACAUGUGGAGCUGACGAAUACUAAUCGAUCGAAGACUUAAUCAA
rnacentral:rRNA from 1 species